GACGAACGCUGGCGGCGUGCCUAAUACAUGCAAGUUGAGCGCUGAAGGUUGGUACUUGUACCAACUGGAUGAGCAGCGAACGGGUGAGUAACGCGUGGGGAAUCUGCCUUUGAGCGGGGGACAACAUUUGGAAACGAAUGCUAAUACCGCAUAAAAACUUUAAACACAAGUUUUAAGUUUGAAAGAUGCAAUUGCAUCACUCAAAGAUGAUCCCGCGUUGUAUUAGCUAGUUGGUGAGGUAAAGGCUCGCCAAGGCGAUGAUACAUAGCCGACCUGAGAGGGUGAUCGGCCACAUUGGGACUGAGACACGGCCCAAACUCCUACGGGAGGCAGCAGUAGGGAAUCUUCGGCAAUGGACGAAAGUCUGACCGAGCAACGCCGCGUGAGUGAAGAAGGUUUUCGGAUCGUAAAACUCUGUUGGUAGAGAAGAACGUUGGUGAGAGUGGAAAGCUCAUCAAGUGACGGUAACUACACAGAAAGGGACGGCUAACUACGUG
rnacentral:rRNA from 1 species